UACGGAGGGCGCGAGCGUUGUCCGGAAUCACUGGGCGUAAAGGGCGCGUAGGCGGCCCUGGUAAGUCUGCGGUGAAAGCCCGGGGCUCGACCCCGGGUCGGCCGCGGGUACUGCCGGGCUGGAGUGCCGUAGGGGCAGGCGGAAUUCCGGGUGUAGCGGUGGAAUGCGUAGAGAUCCGGAAGAACACCGGUGGCGAAGGCGGCCUGCUGGGCGGCGACUGACGCUGAGGCGCGACAGCGUGGGGAGCAAACAGG
rnacentral:rRNA from 1 species